CGAGAUCGUCCUGUCUUCCGGUUUCUAAAUUAUUGUUGAUCGAUUUUCUUAGUUUGUUUUGUGUUGCGUUUGGAUAUCAAUGCUUUUCUGUGACAGAUCGGAGGAUAUCUGCGUUCUUCUUUCAAAAUCUGCGGUAAAUCGGGCUGAACUUGUGUUUCUCUCAGGGAAUCGGAUGAUAUUUUGCGUUCUUCUUUCAAAAUCUGCGGUAAAUCGGGCUGAACUUGUGUUUCUCUCAGGGAAUCGGAUGAUAUUU
rnacentral:misc_RNA from 1 species